rnacentral:rRNA from 1 species
GUGGGGAAUAUUGCGCAAUGGGGGAAACCCUGACGCAGCAAUACCGCGUGAGUGAAGAAGGUUUUCGGAUCGUAAAACUCUUUUAUUGGGGAAGAAGAAGUGACGGUACCCAAUGAAGAAGUCCCGGCUAACUACGUGCCAGCAGCCGCGGUAAUACGUAGGGGACAAGCGUUGUCCGGAAUCACUGGGCGUAAAGGGCGCGUAGGCGGUUUUAUAAGUCAGAUGUGAAAGGUACCGGCUCAACCGGUGACGUGCAUUUGAAACUGUAAGACUUGAGUACUGGAGAGGCAAGUGGAAUUCCUAGUGUAGCGGUGAAAUGCGUAGAUAUUAGGAGGAACACCGGUGGCGAAGGCGGCUUGCUGGACAGAUACUGACGCUGAGGUGCGAAAGCGUGGGGAGCGAACAGGAUUAGAAACCCCGGUAGUCC